CAGGGUAUAACAAAUAUGUAAUUUGAUUACUUUUUUUCUUUGUUACAGAUUCUGUUGCUUUGGCAGUAGAAUGGAUCAGAGAGAACUAAUAAAUAUACAGGCAAAGGAGAUAAAAGUUCUCUGCUUUCAUACAAAUUGGGUAGAAAAUAUCAUUCAAUAGUCACAUUUGCAGAGGAAAAGAGAACAGAUGCAGAAGAGAUAUUUCUUAUCUUUGUUGCUCUGAAAGUUACAGUGAUAACAAUGCCAUUUAUACAUAUAUUUAUCCCAGUACUUACAACUGUGAUUCACUCUAACAUUCUAGCUGUUCAGGCAUGUGGGCAUUUGUUACAAUAAUGGAAGUCUAUUGCCACUCAGAUGUAAGCCACACAUUUCUUUUUUAUUUCUUUUCUGGCUAACAUCCCAAAUCCAUGCAGCAGGUGCUGUCUCGGGAAUGUUACCAUCUAAUAAAAGUACCUCAACAUAAAACAGAGCCAAUAAAAACUCUUUUGCAUACGCUUUUUUCUUCCUAACAGAUGGAAUUCCUAAUAAGACAAUGCCUACACUAUCUAAGAGGAUGAAAACAAACAAGCAGUUUAAAAAGGAAACACAGAUAAACUCUGAUGAAAGUGGAAACUUCUCAGAACCAGGAGAACAGAUUUCUGUAGCAAGAUCACUAGCGGAGACAAUAUUCCUGUGACCACUCGAGCCUGUUAAAUAGGCAGGAUUUAUCCUAGCAGUGCUGUGUGGGGGGCAGCUCUGGGAUCCUAGUUUCCUGAUUCUUUAACCCU
rnacentral:lncRNA from 1 species